AGAUGAAGUCUCUGUAGAAAGAUGGUUAGGUUAACUACAGAAAUUUUAUAAAGGUGGAAAAAUCUAAAGUUUCUCUACAUGGCCAGUGUGGCCUUACUGCGCUGGAGCGAUGGUGCGAUGGAGCAACUAAUUGAUUGCCGACUCAGAUUUGGCUCGUCUCUAAUUAUUUCCGGGCCUUCUGGAAGUGGGAAGACACAGCUUUUGAUCCGUUGUCUCUACCCAGAUAACCAAGAGGCGGUUUUUGGAGAGAAAAUCAAAGAAAAUAUUUUUCAUUUUCACAAUUUGGCAGCCUGCGUAUGAUACUUUGAAGUUACAGCAUCCAGAGGUAGUGUUUUUACAGACUUUCUCAGAUAUCCCCGCUGAUCUGACCGAAAAGCAUGUAGUAGUUUGGGACGACUGCUUUUUAAGGUAAUCCAACUUGACCCGGUCUUGUAACGCAUUUCGCUGGAUGCUGCGUAUUUAUUAGUACUACUAAUGGUUUCCAUAAAUGUUUAAAGUCCAGGUCGACCGUAUCGAGUUGAAUUGAAGAUACCCCGAUUAAUACUUGACUGCAUAGAAAGCAAGCAUAGCUAAUUGAAGGUUUAUAAUACAGGUUGUCAUUAUUUUUGUCAAACUGUAUUUCGAUAACAAAUACUCUAGCAUUAGAUUUUUGCCAUCCCAUUCGAAUUUAAAUGUAUUGUUUGAACUUAAGGAAUUUGUGACAAUAAGAACAAGUGCAUUGAAUUUUGAACUAAUAGAGUGUUACUUAUUUUCCUUUCAUUGACUGAUUGUGACUCAUUUUGUGAAAGAUCGACUAAUAAUAUAUGGCAAUAUUGUAAAAACCUGUCAGAGACUGAGCUAGAGUGACGGCAUUGUUCUUUUUGAUAAUUCUCAACUUUGAAGAUGAGAUAUAUGAAGUUAGGGGAAAGUAUAUCGUUUGUAAAAUUACUACUCGGCAUGGAUAAAUUACUUCCACUUGUUACAUGUAGAUUUAGGGUACAAUUAUUUCCGUUUUGUUGGUGAAAAAUUGAACUACAAUGUAAUUCCUUAGAAUAGAGGAGUAGAGUGUAGAAGGUUACUUGAGAUUUGAAAAGAUUCAGCAUUAUUGCAUAAAUUGAUACCUGGAGAUUUUUGGGUAAAUACUUUGGAGGACCAAAGGCGAAAAGCUACAUAUUUAUAACGUACGCGUAAAUAUAUCUGAAGAAUUAGAUUCCUAAGAGGGGAUUUCUGUAGGGCAUAAAAUCAAGGAAAUAUUUAGGCUAUGUAAUUGUGAAAUCGCUAUAAAAGUUUUUUUAAAUAAUUGUAGGUCUCGCCAAUGUAUGAGAAACGAUCACUUUAAAGUUUGAAGGUUGAAGGACUUUAAAGUUUUGUCAGAUGUAUGUGUUCAGUAAAUUGCAACACGAAAUUGGUGACUACAAGUUUUUAUAGACAUAAGUAAUUUACAUACUACAGAGGUUGAGCCAGUAACAUUGUCGCUCUUAUAAACCUAGAUUUUGUGGGCAAAGGACAUUUUAGUUAAUAUUUUUGACAUUCUCAUCGUGUUCCGCAUCCAUUUUUGAUAUAGAAAGAAGCUGUCGUUUCCAAGAAUCUCACUAUUUAAUGUAAAUUCCAGGGGAUUCUUUUCUUCUCUCUUGAUGAAUUAAUUUGCAAAACACAUAAAUAAAUUUUACCCUCAUUCUUUAGAACGCCAUUCUUCUGUUAGAAAUUAUACAGAAACACGGUGAAUGCAGGACGCAGAAAGUAUGUAUUUACCUGAGAUACAUUCUAUUUCGAAUAUUUUUAAAAACUGGAUGAGUUCUGGGUGGUGAGACGCUAGGUCCUGGAGAACGCGGCUAUGGAUCACUAUGAAUUGGUGCCUAGUGGGUCUCACCACAGUCGAGCAUUUCAAUAUUUUCUUCCGAAAUCAGUUAUAAAGUAUUGCAUACAUAUUACGUAACAUUUAUCUUCAAAACUUUUGAGAAUCGAACAAGAGGGAGUAUUCCACGACCACUUAUUACACCAACUACCACAUGCGCGACAGACAACUUUUCCAAUUUUUUACUAAUGUAGUACUUCAUCUUGCUUCGAGGCAAUGAAAUGUGAUUUCUUCAUUCCUUUUUGCAUUUCCGAUGAAUAGAAAUAUCUCUUACAAUGUGACAAAAAAUUGGGAUCUGUUUCCGGCAAGGUGACCCCGGUACAUCUUUCGAGUUGUUGUCUUUUGGAUUUCUUUAAACGAGGUUUAGGAGCGUGCACUUUGGACCGUUUAAAGACCUUCGAACCUACAUUAUGUUUAAUAAAAAGGCCUAUCGUCCUUCAGGAGCCCUAAUACUUCCUUGUAAGUUGAAGUUACAUCGCCCGAUAUUUUUAUAUAACAUCACGGUCAAUUUUUUUGUUGAGCGUCGGUUUUCUCACUUUUUGGGGGUUUGAGUUAAACGCCUGUGGCAAAGUCAUUUCUAUUGUUUACUUACUUUUUGUUGUGGAUUUUUUAUUCUAAUAAAUGUAGGCAUGAAGAUUAAAAUUUUUGAAAGUCUGAGUGGAUCCACUAAUUUUUUAGGUGCAAUUCCUGCUGUGCAAAGUGCUUUCGCAGCAUUUUCCACUUCGGGGUCAGUUUUCCGCACCAUUUCGAAAUAUUUUUAAUUCGAAUAAAUUUUAUGAUGUCGGUAUUGAGUUUGUUUACAGGGUAAUUCAUAAAUUUUGCGGCUAGCUAAAGUGCGUAAUUAGUAAUGAGACACGGACUAGAGCGACCAUGUUAGUGCCUCAACCCGUAAAGGCGAGAGAAGAUUAUAAGACCACUUUCUGGACCUUACCUGACCUUAGACGCGAUACUUUUGAAUAUCCCCAAUUUGUUUAAACUACUCCCCAUGCAUCUGGCCAGUUGUGUGAAGACGUUUUUUACAGACCAAAAAUAGCUCAUGGCACUUUUGAGAAGUGAUUGUCCAAAACCCGUGUCGAACAAGUUUCCAGAACGCAUUAAUUUUGGAGAUGCCUAUUAGAAAAUGUUUUGCUGUAUGAAACCAAAUUCAAAUAAAAUCAUGGGGGAUGUAUCAAUA